rnacentral:RNase_P_RNA from 1 species
CUAAGGUAAUAACCCUGAAAGUGCCACAGUGACGAAGCUUAACGGAAACGUUAAGGUGGAACGCGGUAAACCCCACAAGCGAGAAACCCAAAAUUGGUAGGGGAAGUUUGUUUCGAAAAACGAAUCGGAACAUUCAUGCACCAUGUGCAUAGAUAAAUUGUUACCCUCGACAGAACAUGGCUUAUAGGG